UGAGAUGCUGGCGCUGCCUGCGAGUGACGGGGAGGUGCAGUGUGCCUUUCUCCCUUGGAACUGAUGAAUUCCAGGACGUGGAAAAUGCAACAAAACCAACCUCGCUGUAGAAAGAAUCUUUGCGAUUGCAAUUGUAAGAUACUGGGUUUUUAGGUCCCGAAGCCUUUUACAGAGCUUGCUCAGCAAAUCAUACCAUGAGAUGGGAAAAGAGUCCAGAAGUCUUCUAGAGCCUGUGAUGUUUUUUCUAGGACUUGACAUACACGUGGGAAGCAGAAGAAAGGCCAAGACAACCUAUAGAGAGACAAAGGAAUGUUUUGAUUAUUGGACGAGCAAGAGAUUUCAAAUACAUGAGAGGCUGAGAAAAUAUAAAUGUCAAUGCAAAAUGUAUACAUGAAUUAGCAAAUUUUUCUUUUUGUCUUUAGCUGAGCACAUUCUUUUAAUCUCUACUCCUCUAUCCAUCCUUAUCCCUUCGUUGUCAAGUAAAAUGUGCAUUUGUACCACAGUUAAUCACUUCUGAAGCAUUUUAAAUGCUGGUAUUUCAAGGUAUCUAGUGGUUUUUGUUUCACCAAAAACUUCACUAGAGGAUCUGCUCCCUUUUAAAAACUGGGUUUCAGAGACAAAGGGAAACUCCAUGUUGCCCAAAGGUAAAACAGUAAGCCUAUGACAAUGAGUUGCAAAUAACCAUAUAGCUCUGAAUUCUGAUGAGCCAAGAAGUUACAUGAUUCUUUUCCACUAAAUGUACUAGAAGUAGGCAUCCAGACUUCUUUCUUUAAGAAAAAAGUACUUAAGCAAGGUCAUAUGGAGGUCAAAAAGCCAGCUCAUUUAGUGUGGAAACUGGAGCAGUGUGCUCUGCAUGUUCAGAAUAUAUAAACAUUCCAGAAAGUGGCAAAUUCAUACAGCCUCUCUGUGUAACAGCUACCUAGAGUGCCAUGCUUUUUCCUGCUUUCAUCCUUUUUUUUUUUUGUAUUCAUAAGCAGGCUCAAGAUCAAAUCUAAUGUGUCAAUGUUAAAAUUUUUAUCUAAAUAGAUAAAAUUACCAAGGCCUUUUUAUUCCUAAGGAUGACAUCAGUAACAAUUUGCUAUAGAGUUUUGUCAGUCUUGGAGGAGUUGGAAUGUUCUGAUUUUUCCUUGGUGAUUCCAUUUGUAAAUCCACCUACUGCUGCCAUUGUGAUGAAAUAAAUUAUCAAAACAAUGUGA